UUUACCAUUUGACCUAGGAUCCGUUGUUUUUCUUUGUUGUAGGAAAAACAAUAUCCUCCUUAAUAUGGAACCCGUGAAGAUUAGAGCCUUUUUAGUCUGUAGCAAUGGUUGAAAUGCUGAAGGCUACUCACUUCCAUCUCUGUAGGAAUAUAUUUUGCUUUAAAUCUAAUGCUAAGUAUUUGACAUCCUGAACUGUUACAAAUGACCAGGGCUUUUUUUUUUUUUUGUCAUAGAACGUACUGGAAAGGCAUUCCGGCACCUUUUUUUGACAGAUUUUUCCAGAGUUGCGUUCUUUUCCUAUUGUUGCCCUUCCUAUCCUUGUUUACUUUUGAAAAUGCCCCGCUGGCGGUACGGUGUGAGACUGCCCAAGUGCAGUCCCCUCUGGUGCUGUCCGCCUCUUCUAGGAGGAGCCAUGAGGCGCCGGAGCACCACAACAUGGAAGCCAACUUUCAUGAGAAGUUUUCUCUGCCCAGCUAGAUCUUCUGGGCUUCAAGACACUACAAAAGACAUAACAAUAGCAUAAUUGCCCAUUUGUGCUAGAUUUCAGUGCCCCCCUCCUUUGUGAUAACUUUUGAAGAGAUAUCUCAGGGGCUGCCACAAAGAAGAGGGAGUCAAGCUAUUCUCCAAGGGGCCUGAAGGCAGGAC